GUGGGGAAUUUUGGACAAUGGGCGCAAGCCUGAUCCAGCAAUGCCGCGUGCAGGAAGAAGGCCUUCGGGUUGUAAACUGCUUUUGUACGGAACGAAACGGUCCGGGUUAAUACCCUGGGCUAAUGACGGUACCGUAAGAAUAAGCACCGGCUAACUACGUGCCAGCAGCCGCGGUAAUACGUAGGGUGCAAGCGUUAAUCGGAAUUACUGGGCGUAAAGCGUGCGCAGGCGGUUUGGUCAGACAGGCGUGAAAUCCCCGGGCUCAACCUGGGAAUUGCUCUUGGGACUGCAAGGCUGGAGUGCGGCAGAGGGGGAUGGAAUUCCGCGUGUAGCAGUGAAAUGCGUAGAUAUGCGGAGGAACACCGAUGGCGAAGGCAAUCCCCUGGGCCUGUACUGACGCUCAUGCACGAAAGCGUGGGGAGCAAACAGGAUUAGAAACCCCGGUAGUCC
rnacentral:rRNA from 1 species